rnacentral:rRNA from 1 species
CCUACGGGCGGCAGCAGUGGGGAAUAUUGGACAAUGGGCGAAAGCCUGAUCCAGCCAUGCCGCGUGUGUGAAGAAGGCCUUCGGGUUGUAAAGCACUUUCAGUGGGGAAGAAAGCCUUGGGGCUAAUACCCUCGAGGAAGGACAUCACCCACAGAAGAAGCACCGGCUAACGCCGUGCGAGCAGCCGCGGUAAUACGGAGGGUGCGAGCGUUAAUCGGAAUUACUGGGCGUAAAGCGCGCGUAGGCGGUCUGAUAAGCCGGUUGUGAAAGCCCCGGGCUCAACCUGGGAACGGCAUCCGGAACUGUCAGGCUAGAGUGCAGGAGAGGAAGGUAGAAUUCCCGGUGUAGCGGUGAAAUGCGUAGAGAUCGGGAGGAAUACCAGUGGCGAAGGCGGCCUUCUGGACUGACACUGACGCUGAGGUGCGAAAGCGUGGGUAGCAAACAGGAUUAGAUACCCCGGUAGUC